GCCAUGGGGAUUCCUUCUACAGGUUCCUUCCUUCUCUGCAUUAUUUAUAAAUGAUUUUAUUGUUCAAGCUCUAAUUCAUCUGAAGAUUCCUUCAGUACUCUUGUUUUAAACUGUCUGCUACCUUGAGUGUUAUUCCAAAGAGAACAGUAACACCUCAAUCAAGCAACCUAAGCAAUUAAGCAUUAAUCAGAGUGAUUAUAUUUUUCUGGGCAAUUGGGGAAUAGAUAUGCAAGGUCUUUCAGCACUUCAGCUCUUCUUAACAUCUUGUCAAUUAACUUCUUGCCAUUCCAGACUUCUGAUCUUGAAGAAAACUCAUCCCAGAGUUCUCAAGUGCUGACUCUGCAUGGAAAUCCAGAUGAAGAUGGGAAAGGUGCUAAAGCAAAAGAAUGCUCCAGCAUUUGGGACUCACAGUGUGGUGUUCUUGGAAACAUUCAUCUUCCAUCACC